ensembl:snRNA U1 U1 spliceosomal RNA
AUACUUACCUAGUGGGGGAAAUACCAUGAUCAUGAAGGUGACUUUCCCAGGGUGAGGCUCAUCCAUUGCAUGUUGGGUGUGCUGACGUCUGCAGGAAACCGGACUGCAUAACUUGUGGUAGUGAGGGUACGGUACUUGCAUUCUUCUUUG